AUGUAGGGCAGUCUGCCUUCAGGGAUAAAUUACUCUAAGAGAAAUGGAUCCUAGUUUUCCCUUCAAGUCAAGCUUCUGGU
rnacentral:pre_miRNA from 1 species